rnacentral:rRNA from 1 species
AUAGCGUAUAUUAAAGUUGUUGCGGUUAAAAAGCUCGUAGUUGGAUUUCUGCCGAGGACGACCGAUCCGCCCUUACGGGUGUGCGUCAGGUUUGACCGAGGCAUCCUCCUGGAAAACGGCGCUGCACUUCGCUGUGUGGCACGGUGUCUAGAAAAUUUACUUUGAGGAAAUUAGAGUGUUCCAAGCAGGCUAUUGCUUUGAAUACAUUAGCAUGGAAUAAUAAUAUAGGACUUCGGUUCUAUUUUGUUGGUUUCUAGAACUGAAGUAAUGAUUAAUAGGGACAGUCGGGGGCAUUCGUACUUAACUGUCAGAGGUGAAAUUCUUGGAUUUGUUAAAGACGAACUACUG